rnacentral:rRNA from 1 species
CAGCAGCCGCGGUAAUACGAAGGGUGCAAGCGUUACUCGGAAUUACUGGGCGUAAAGCGUGCGUAGGUGGUGGUUUAAGUCCGUUGUGAAAGCCCUGGGCUCAACCUGGGAAUUGCAGUGGAUACUGGGUCACUAGAGUGUGGUAGAGGAUAGUGGAAUUUCCGGUGUAGCAGUGAAAUGCGUAGAGAUCGGAAGGAACAUCUGUGGCGAAGGCGACUAUCUGGGCCAACACUGACACUGAGGCACGAAAGCGUGGGGAGCAAACAGGAUUAGAUACCCCUGUAGUCCCUGUCUCUUAUAC